AUUAGCCCCUAGACAGCCACAUCGGAAGUAAGUUUACGAACAUCAUAUUCCUAGACACUAUCAUGCAGGCUACCAAGGGAAUAAGCUGCCAUAACACUGGGCCCGGGCUCGAAGAAGACUGGGAUGUAUGUGAACGUAUGUCUUUGCGGCAGGGGAACACUUAGAAUACUUCCGAGAUUCUUGAGGGAUUGAUGCUAAGGAAAGAAAAAUGGAAGAAUCUCGAAAGAAAACGGCUUUACCUACGCAGGGGUGAGAAUGUGCCACAACUGCCGCUAUUCCUGCAACUGUCAAACGUGAAACGACGUUUAGAAUAUCAGUCUGCACGCUUAUGAACGUAAUACUGAGUUCUGAGCUUUAUUUCAUAACUCAUUAGACAGUUUUUUUCUUCUUCUAAAUAAAGCUGCACUGUGUGUUUAGUACCCUAAUUAAGAUGUAUUAAAGUGUGCUAGAAAGUUUA